rnacentral:rRNA from 1 species
AUUGAACGCUGGCGGCAGGCCUAACACAUGCAAGUCGAGCGGAGCGGAGGACGGGUGAGUAAUGCCUAGGAAUCUGCCUGGUAGUGGGGGAUAACGUCCGGAAACGGGCGCUAAUACCGCAUAACAUCAGAGAAGCCUAGGUAGGAUUAGCAAGUUGGGGGGGUAAAGGCAUACCAAGGCGACUAUCCGUAACUGGUCUGAGAGGAGUAUCAGUCACAUGGGAACUGAGACACGGUCCAUACUCCUACGGGAGGCAGCAGUUGGGAAUAUGGGACAAUGGGUGAAAGCCUGAUCCAGCCAUGCCGCGUGUGUGAAGAAGGUCUUCGGAUUGUAAAGCACUUUAAGUUGGGAGGCGUUACCAACAGAAUAAGCACCGGCUAACUUCGUGCCAGCAGCCGGGGUAAUAC